GACGAACGCUGGCGGCGUGCCUAAUACAUGCAAGUAGGACGCACAGUUUAUACCGUAGCUUGCUACACCAUAGACUGUGAGUUGCGAACGGGUGAGUAACGCGUAGGUAACCUGCCUAUUAGAGGGGGAUAACUAUUGGAAACGAUAGCUAAUACCGCAUAACAGUAUGUAACACAUGUUAGAUGCUUGAAAGAUGCAAUUGCAUCGCUAGUAGAUGGGCCUGCGUUGUAUUAGCUAGUAGGUAGGGUAAUGGCCUACCUAGGCGACGAUACAUAGCCGACCUGAGAGGGUGAUCGGCCACACUGGGACUGAGACACGGCCCAGACUCCUACGGGAGGCAGCAGUAGGGAAUCUUCGGCAAUGGGGGGAACCCUGACCGAGCAACGCCGCGUGAGUGAAGAAGGUUUUCGGAUCGUAAAGCUCUGUUGUUAAGGAAGAACGAGUGUGAGAAUGGAAAGUUCAUACUGUGACGGUACUUAACCAGAAAGGGACGGCUAACUACGUGCCAGCAGCCGCGGUAAUACGUAGGUCCCGAGCGUUGUCCGGAUUUAUUGGGCGUAAAGCGAGCGCAGGCGGUUAGAAAAGUCUGAAGUGAAAGGCAGUGGCUCAACCAUUGUAGGCUUUGGAAACUGUUUAACUUGAGUGCAGAAGGGGAGAGUGGAAUUCCAUGUGUAGCGGUGAAAUGCGUAGAUAUAUGGAGGAACACCGGUGGCGAAAGCGGCUCUCUGGUCUGUAACUGACGCUGAGGCUCGAAAGCGUGGGGAGCGAACAGG
rnacentral:rRNA from 1 species